rnacentral:tRNA from 1 species
GCGAGGAUAAUUCAGUGGUAGAAUGUCAGCUUCCCAAGCUGAAUACGCGGGUUCGAUUCCCGUUCCUCGCUCCA